AGAGCUGUAGCUUAGUGGUAAAGCACAUGACUUGCAUGCAGAAGGUACCGGGUUCAAUCCCCCGAGUCUCUA